AGUGAACGCUGGCGGUAGGCCUAACACAUGCAAGUCGAACGGCAGCACAGUAAGAGCUUGCUCUUCCGGGUGGCGAGUGGCGGACGGGUGAGGAAUACAUCGGACUCUACUUUUUCGUGGGGGAUAACGUAGGGAAACUUACGCUAAUACCGCAUACGACCUACGGGUGAAAGCAGGGGAUCUUCGGACCUUGCGCGAUUGAAUGCGCCGAUGUCGGAUUUGCUAGUUGGCGGGGUAAAGGCCCACCAAGGCGACGAUCCGUAGCUGGUCUGAGAGGAUGAUCAGCCACACUGGAACGGAGACACGGUCCAGACUCCUACGGGAGGCAGCAGUGGGGAAUAUUGGACAAUAGGCGCAAGCCUGAUCCAACCAUACCGCGUGGGUGAAGAAGGCCUUCGGGUUGUAAAGCCCUUUUGUUGGGAAAGAAAAGCAGCAGGUUAAUACCCCGCUGUUCUGACGGUACCCAAAGAAUAAGCACCGGCUAACUUCGUG
rnacentral:rRNA from 1 species